rnacentral:rRNA from 1 species
GGACUACCAGGGUAUCUAAUCCUGUUUGCUCCCCACGCUUUCGCGCCUCAGCGUCAGUUGUGAGCCAGAAAGCCGCCUUCGCCACUGGUGUUCUUGCGAAUAUCUACGAAUUUCACCUCUACACUCGCAAUUCCACUUUCCUCUCUCACUCUCUAGCCCAACAGUAUCAAAUGCAGUUCCCAAGUUAAGCUCGGGGCUUUCACAUCUGACUUAUUGGGCCGCCUACGCGCCCUUUACGCCCAGUAAUUCCGAACAACGCUAGCACCCUUCGUAUUACCGCGGCGGCUGGCAC